rnacentral:tRNA from 4 species
CGGGGUGUGGUGUAAUGGUAGCAUAAACGCUUUGGGAGCGUUUGGCCCGAGUUCAAAUCUCGGCACCCCGA